rnacentral:lncRNA from 1 species
GUCUCUAUGGGGUCUCUAUGGGGUCAGUGGGUUUCUAUGGGGUCUCUAUGGGGUCGGUGGAGCUCUGUGAGGUCAGUGGGACUCUAUGGCGUCUCUAUGGGGUUUCAAUGGGGUCAGAUGGGCUCUAUGGGAUCUCUAUGGGGUCUCUAUGGGGUCUCUAUGGGGUCAGUGGGGCUCCCUGGGGUCUGCAGGGUCUCUAUGGGGUCUCUAUGGGGUUUCUAUGGGGUCUCUAUGGAGUCAGUGGGACUCUAUGGGGUCUGUAUGGGGUCAGUGGGGCUCUGUGGGAUCUGUAGGGUCUCUAUGGGGUCUCUAUGGGGUCUCUAUGGGGUCAGAAAGGCUCUAUGGGGUNNNNNNNNNNAUGGGGUCUCUGUGGGGUCAGUGGGGCUCUGUGGGAUCUGUAGGGUCUCUAUGGGGUUUCAAUGGGGUCAGAUAGGCUCUAUGGGGUCUCUGUGGGCUCAGUGGGGCUCCCUGGGGUCUGUGGGGCUCUAUGGGGUCUCUAUGGGGUCUCUAUGGGGUCAGUGGGACUCCAUGGGGUCUCUAUGGGGUCAGUGGGACUCCAUGGAGUCUCUAUGGGGUCAUUGGGGCUCUAUGGGGCCUCUAUGGGGUCAAUGGGGCUCUGUGGGGUCAGUGGGACUCCAUGGGGUCUCUAUGGGGUCUCUAUGGGGUCAGUGGGGUUCUGUGGGGUCUCUAUGGGGUCUCUAUGGGGUCAGUGGGGCUCUGUGGGGUCAGUGGGACUCCAUGGGGUCUCUAUGGGGUCUCUAUGGGGUCAGUGGGGCUCCCUGGGGUAUGUAGGGUCUCUAUGGGGUCUCAAUGGGGCCUCUAUGGGGUCAAUGGAACUCUAUGGGGUCAGUGGGACUCCAUGGGGCCUCUAUGGGGUCAGUGGGGCUCUGUGGGGUCUGCAGGGUCUCUAUGGGGUCUCUAUGGGGUCGGUGGGGCUCUGUGGGGUCUGCAGGGUCUCUAUGGCGUCUCUAUGGGGUCAGUGGGGUUCUAUGGGGCCUCUAUGGGGUCGGUGGAGCUCUGUGGGGACGUGGAUGUGUGUCACCCCAAAAAGGGGA